GCCCCUGCCGGUCGGUCCGCCUUCUUGGUGUGUACUUACUCGGCGGGGGCUUACCUCCUGGUGAACUGCGAUGUCCUUUACUGGGUGUCGUAGCAAACCAGGAAUUUUACUUUGAAAAAAUUAGAGUGUUCAAAGCAGGCCUACGCCCGAAUACAUUAGCAUGGAAUAAUAGAAUAGGACGCGCGUUCUUAUUUUGUUGGUUUCUGAGAUCGCCGUA
rnacentral:rRNA from 1 species